AUAUUUGCCCAAGGCCCCAGCUAAUGAUUAUUCUAACUUUUAGAUCAGACCAUCUUCACCUGGAUAGCUGAUCAAGGGGUGGUGGGGGGCAUCCUCCUCUGCUGGUUUCCCUGGUAACCAACGAGCCAACCUGACGUCAUUUCCCCUAUAAGUGGUCACCUCCCUUUCCCCAGGCCGGAAGGGAAGGUGGUUGCUCGGUCCUUUUCUGCCCUUCACCACACAUGGUGGGGUUUGCUCUGCUAAAGGAGAUGCCGUGUCCUGGGACCUGCAGGAAUCCAUAUGAUGGACCACCGCGCGAAGUUUCUUGGCUUCAUGCAGAUCUCAAGAGGAAGGGGUCACAUCAUGCCCUGGACAGGAGAGAGGAGAGAGGGCCCCCCCCAAGAAGUAUUGGGGUCCAUCAGGAGGGAGAGGGAGAAAUUGUGGCUAGAGCCUUUAUUGUGGCUUCUGCAGGAGUAGACGGCUAGGUGAGACCAGAUGGAUUCAGUCCAUGCAUUUGCCUCGGGGGCGGCCUCGACAACAUCAAGUGGCAACACCCUACAAGAACAGUAUGUGUGUUCCCUCCUUCGGGGUCAAGCCAAUCGAUAUCUUUUUCUUUGUGUCUCAUGAGCAUCUAUACAAACUGCAGAAAGCUGAGCUUGGAACUGUUCCCAGCACAUGCUGAUAUCAAUCUACAUAUUUGUGGUAUGGCCUUCCCGGGCCCUGCUGGAAGAGUAUCGGCGUGAACAGAGUGUUUGGAUGACUGCCUGGGAAGAAGUGAACCUCCCCCUGGUUUCACCACAUCGAAUCUUGAUUUUGCCCUGCUGCACCUUGGUGACACUCAGAAGGCAAGUUCUUGCUUUUUCCUCACUGGACCUGGCUCGCUGUCAGGUGGGGCUGUGAAAUCAGGGAGUUGGUUUUGGAUGAUCUUGAUCAGAGCCUUUAAGGACCACAUUUGAUAUGUGACUUUGCCUUGCUCCCUCCUGCUUACUCUUUGAAGCUCCAUUGAGUUACAUCAUCCUCCAAGAAGCCUCUCUUCACCCUUGUUUGGCAGACAGCACUGAAAGCUGCUUAUGUCUUUCAGUUUCACUGAUUUACAAUAACCUGUUUUCCUCUGUCUUCAGAGUAAGAUUAUUAUAAAAAAUGAUGUUGGUGCUCUACUUAGGUCCCUUGGGGUCCCUUUUACCUGUUGGGCUUGUUACCCAUCCUCCAGGUACAGUGGGUGUUUCCGCUCAUAGCUUCAAGCUGCAAUUUCUCCGUAGGCUUCCCCUUGGACUACUGAAGCCACUUCACAGAGAUUCUGAGGUUGUGGUCUCCCUCCUCACCACUUGCAUCAAGGCCUGACUUGAGGGUCCAAGACAGAGUCUGUGGGGCAAUUUAGGCUUUUGGUCUUCCCAAAAUACUAGGUUAAGUUUAUAUGUCAGCUGAAACUACUUCCCGUACAGCUCCUUCCCCUUCUCUAUCCUUCUUUCCUCAUCCCCUUCCCCAAAACACUCCAUCAGUCAAUCACUUGUAUAUGAAUCCUUGUCUCAGGCUCUGCUUCUAGGGAACCCAACCUAACAAGUAUAAAAUCUUAUUUCUAAUAACAACCCAAGAGAUAGGUGUUAAUAUUCCAGCUGGAGAAAGUGAAGUGAGUUUAAAUAGCUUUGCAAGGUAUGUAACAAGCACUGACCUGCCAGACACAGGUGCUCAGUAAGUAGAUGUUAAAUGACAUCAUAAGCCCAGGUCUCCAUUAACUCAAUGAUCUUGAGCCCCCAGAGGAGGUUUUGGUCUGUGGUAGGAUGGACCAGUCUGAAGCAGACCAUCACUUGGAAGCUAGAUAAGUGCUCUGGGAUACAUCUAAAAGGAGGAAAUCCAGAAUUCCUAGAGAGAGGAUCAGCAAUAAAGGGGUGAAAAGCAAGGUUAGAGCUCUGUCAGAAGGUAGAAGAGAUCUUGCCAUAGGAAUCACAAUCCUAGAAUGGUAUUUGAGACCUCACGAAGAUCUUAACAGAGUCUGGAAAAGUCUGCAGCGUAACUGCCUAGGAAACUGAGACAGGGCAUCAAGCUCAGAGGAAUAGAGGAGAGACUGUGAUUUCCUAAAUGACAGGGAAUAACUUAGAGUUAUCACUGCAGCCAUCAUGCCUAGUAGAACACCUGGCAUAUUGUCAGUGACAACAAAUAUUUGUAGAAUAAAUAGUUGAAUGCAGGAAGGCUGCACUAUGAAUUGAGCAUGAGGCAUAGUCGCAGGUUCACUAUAAGAGUCUGGUUACUAAAGCUUAAUGACCUGAUUACACAGAACCAUCAGCCAAGUUGACCCAUGGCAGAGCUUCCAGGCUCCUUCCUCUUCUACUGGGUCCUGAAGUUAUCCCUGAAAGGGAAGUGAGGCCAGAGCAUCUCACUGGAUGACUUCUGAUGGAAGAAGUUAAAUGGCUUCUGCUUAAAAGCAUGGGGCAGGGAACCAAGUCGGGGCAUCGCAAUGGCAAAUCCAUUUCUUUGAGACUCGCCAUGGUCCAUUAGUUAAUCGGGGCAUUUGAACCAGAGGGAUUAUCAGAAUGUUACUUCUCCACGGAUAAUGAGCUAUAUUUUUCUCCUUUGUAAGAUGGAAACAGAAUGAUCAACCCUUCUAUUGCAGGUAACGACAUGAGUUGCCUUCUCACACAUAAAUGGUCUGAAAUAUUACCUCUGUGGGUAUGGGUGACUUCCACCCACAUCCUUGACGUUCAGCAUGUGUCAGCUCUACUGAGAAGCUUUCUCUAUUCUGUGGCACUAAUAUUCCAACUUUAACCCCAAACUGGAUUAGUUGCCCUCUCUUCUGGAUCUCUGAACUCUCUGUAUAAACCACCAGUGUUUAUUUCUUAUUUCCACCAUAUUGCUUCUUUUCCUUCAUUAAAAUCUUCUUUUCUCUUUCUCUUUAUCCAUCACUUCCACUAGAUUUUGAAAUUCUUAAGGAGAAAUAAGAUUGUGUGUUCUUUCUCCCCACAGUGGUGCCACCUCAAGGCUAAUGUACAUAAUAAAUGUUCACUAUUGUGUGAGCAAAUAAUUAAAACUGCAAAAACUUGAGAAUGCAUGGUACUAGGACAGAGCCAUAAGAAAUUUCUCUCUCUCUAUGCUAACUGCCAUUCAUGUCUGAUUUUAGAGAUAAAAUUGCUUUAGAUUUAAAGGGAAAACUUAGUAAAGAUUCAGAGGUCAGAAGUCGUUGGGCUUCUAGGAUAAAACUCAGUUGUCUGAUACCAUAAUUAUGUCAGCCUUUCAAUUGAGUUCAAUACAACUUUACUGGGGAAUUCCCAUGACCUGGAAACAUUAUUUUCUAAGAAUAGUCGAACUGCACAGAGUAUAAGGGAGAAGUGAGAAAAGGAGAGAGUAGAGGGUUAAUUCAGGACCAGAUUUGUAAUGUCCUUAGCCACUCUAGUCAAAGUAAUUGAAAAUGCAUUGGAAAAUUUAUGUACAAGGAAUUAAUUACCACCAAGUAUGCAAUCCCAAUUAGUAACUCAAAU